ensembl:lncRNA
UUCUUCCUCUCUGUCUUUUAAUGGUAUUUAUGGUUUUGCCGCACUUCCUGGGUUCAGCUGGGUCCAAAAGCAGGAGUCUGAAAUAUCAUUGAAGAGGUUAUUCACGGUGUUUCCAGCUGGCUAGGACCAGGGAAUGAGAGAUCUCUCACAAUAAGCUCUCACAGAAGGAUCCCCAGGCAUCCUCUUCAUCUGCUAAGCAUUUGUACAGUGAGGCAGAGAAGACUUCUUAACACCUCCACAAAGUUUUUAUCUUCUACAUUUUGAGCUGACGGUUCACAUUAUGUACACAAGACUGGUAACUGAUUCAGAGGAUACGAUGUCACAGUCCAGCGGUGCAAGUGUUAUUAUAUUGACACUGACUGAAAGGCUUCAAGGCCAAGAGGGGCUGUCCGAGAUCAAGUCUUAGCUUAGAGAAACUCAGAAACCAGAGCUUCCUUUCUUAAUCACAGAAUGGCCUGGGUUGGAAGGGACCUCAAGGAUCAUGAAUCUUCAACCCCCCUGCCAGACAGGGCCACCAACCUCCCCAUUUACUAGACCAGGUUACCCAGGGCCUCAUCCAUCCUGGCCUUGAACACCUCCAGGGACGGGGCAUCCACAACCUCUCUGGGCAGCCCGUUCCAGCACCUCACCACUCUCCUGAUGUGCAGCUCAUCUGGGAUCAUCUCAGGAUCAAUCUAGGCCAAAGAAAAACCAGGCACAAUGGCCUGCCUACCAGCUGUGGAGCUAAUAUCUACACGUGGCCCUGUAUCAUCCUUCUUAUACCUAUGAAUUUACCUUUCUAG